rnacentral:antisense_RNA from 1 species
ACAGCUUCCAAUACAUCUUGAGGGAGACUGUACUGGAGCAGAUAAAGACACUAGAAGGCAAGGGCUGCUUUUUGGUGCUGGUGUAUGCUUAAAAAGAAAGCCAGCCCUUAAGCAGAGAUUCUGCAUGUAAUGUUGAAGAAAGAAAGAAAGUCAGCGCUGACUUCGACGCAGCCUUACGUACUGCUGCCGAUGGCAAGAAGACCUGUGUGAGAGCAACCUUAAGAGCAUUCUGCGUUAGCAGCAAUAGCCUGCCAGACCACCGUAGCCCCGAGGAUAGAUGAGAUGGAGAGACCACCAAUGCCACCAGCUGCCAGGGCUCUUAUGUUCUAUAACCACACACCGUGCUUCACCAAACUUGAACUAUGAAUGCAACAUAAAUUUACAUCUCACUUCAUUCAACUUGACCGCCCAACUUGCCCAAGUUCUCUGAAUGCUGGGCUGGGAGGUCCUGGAUGAAAACAAGCCUCAUGCCCAAGGACUUCUGCUGAGCUGAGGUCUGG